rnacentral:lncRNA from 1 species
UUCGCUAUAAAUAAAUUCCAACGUCGAACAUACCAGUCUGGUUUUUACUCAAAGAAAAAAAAAGGGGAAUGGCAGCAGGUUAGGAAGGCCAUGAUCUGUACCCACCCCGUACUUCUGCAGAACUGAUAUAUAUCAGAUCUCCUUGGGAUUUUAUUACAUGCCUAAUUUGGAUGCUGCUUAGAACAUGAGAACUGUACCCAAACCAAUAUGAGGCUUCUCCAAUUUCAGCUGUCCAUAUCAACUAUGAACAAAAGAGGAGAAAG